rnacentral:rRNA from 1 species
UACGUAGGGGGGCAAGCGUUGUCCGGAUUCAUUGGGCGUAAAGAGCGUGUAGGCGGCCAGGUAGGUCGGUUGUGAAAACUGGAGGCUCAACCUUCAGAGGUCGACCGAAACCAUCUGGUUAGAGUCCGGGAGAGGAGAGUGGAAUUCCGUGGUGUAGCGGUGAAAUGCGCAGAUAUCAGGAAGAACACCCGUGGCGAAAGGCGGGCUC